AAACUAAUCGAUUUAAUCGAUUAUUAAAAUAGUUAACAACUUUUUUAGUCAUCGAUUAGUUGUUUAAUAAUCAUAUUUUACCGCAUAAAGUCUAUUUUUUUACCACAAUCUGACAUCGGUUACAAUCUGUUAAAUUUGCCGCCAGUGUGUGGCAGUAAUGAGCCACUGAUCUACCAGUGGAGCCGUAGAAGAAGAAAUGAGCCAAUAAGUGCCCUCGGUUUUCAUGACGUAUCACGUUACUGACGCUCAUCUUGCUGUGAGAGAUGGCGGAUCAACAAGAAAUACGGAAGAAAAAUAGAAGCGACAAAACAAGAGAAACCCUGGACAAAAACCUCACGAGUAUGGGAGCACUUCACUAGAUGCCUUGAAAAGACCGGUGACCUGCAAAAUAUGCAAAAACCAUGGCACGACGGAAGCACGACGUCCCUAAGUGAACAUUUGAGACGAAAACGUGGGGGCUGAUGCAGCAGAGGAAUGUCCGAAAAAAACAAGCAACGAUGGACAACUACAUGGGGAACAAGACACUCACCCUCAGCAAUGCAUACCACUUACAAACUCUAUUCCAGAUUCUACAUUAUUUUUUAUGGAAUUUACCUCUUAUAUUUUGAUGCCAAAAAAUUAUUCUGGACUGAUAUUUUGCACUGUUUAGCUCAUUUUACACUGCUGACUGUGUUCAUGUGCAAUAAAAUAGAUUGCAGUCAACUGCACAAUUCUCUUAUGUUUUUCUUUUUCUUAACUGAAAUGUAUUCAUCACUUGUAUAGGUUAAAUAGCUAAACAAUAACAAACCGAUUAAUCGA